UACGUAAGGUGCGAGCGUUGUCCGGAAUUAUUGGGCGUAAAGAGCUCGUAGGCGGUGUGUCGCGUCGGCCGUGAAAACCUGCAGCUUAACUGUGGGCUUGCGGUCGAUACGGGCAUCACUGGAGUUCGGCAGGGGAGACUGGAAUUCCUGGUGUAGCGGUGAAAUGCGCAGAUAUCAGGAGGAACACCGGUGGCGAAGGCGGGUCUCUGGGCCGAUACUGACGCUGAGGAGCGAAAGCGUGGGGAGCGAACAGG
rnacentral:rRNA from 1 species